rnacentral:rRNA from 1 species
AUUGAACGCUGGCGGCAUGCCUUACACAUGCAAGUCGAACGGCAGCACGGGUGCUUGCACCUGGUGGCGAGUGGCGAACGGGUGAGUAAUACAUCGGAACAUGUCCCGUAGCGGGGGAUAGCCCGGCGAAAGCCGGAUUAAUACCGCAUACGAUCUACGGAUGAAAGCGGGGGACCUUCGGGCCUCGCGCUAUAGGGUUGGCCGAUGGCUGAUUAGCUAGUUGGUGGGGUAAAGGCCUACCAAGGCGACGAUCAGUAGCUGGUCUGAGAGGACGACCAGCCACACUGGGACUGAGACACGGCCCAGACUCCUACGGGAGGCAGCAGUGGGGAAUUUUGGACAAUGGGCGAAAGCCUGAUCCAGCAAUGCCGCGUGUGUGAAGAAGGCCUUCGGGUUGUAAAGCACUUUUGUCCGGAAAGAAAUCCUUGGCCCUAAUACGGUCGGGGGAUGACGGUACCGGAAGAAUAAGCACCGGCUAACUACGUG